rnacentral:tRNA from 1 species
GACGGUUUGGCCGAGUGGUCUAAGGCGCCAGAUUUAGGCUCUGGUCCGAAAAGGGCUGUGGGUUCAAAUCCCACAGCCGUCA